CGUUAUCCGGAGUUACUGGGCGUAAAGGGCGUGUAGGCGGUUUGUUAAGUCUGGCGUGAAAGCUCUCGGCUAAACCGGGAGAGGUCGUUGGAUACUGGCGAACUCGAGGAUGGUAGAGGCGUGUGGAAUUCCGGGUGUAGUGGUGAAAUGCGUAGAGAUCCGGAGGAACACCAGUGGCGAAGGCGACGUUCUGGACUGCAACUGACACUGAGGAACGAAAGCCAGGGGAGCAAACGGG
rnacentral:rRNA from 1 species